rnacentral:rRNA from 1 species
GACAGAGGGGGCAAGCGUUGCUCGGAAUCACUGGGCGUAAAGGGCGCGUAGGCGGCUACGCACGUCCGUUGUGAAAUCGCUCGGCUCAACUGGGCGGGGUCAGCGGAUACGGCGUAGCUGGAGCAAGCUAGGGGGCAAUGGAAUUCCCGGUGUAGUGGUGGAAUGCGUAGAUAUCGGGAGGAACACCAGUGGCGAAGGCGGUUGCCUGGAGCUUUGCUGACGCUGAUGCGCGAAAGCGUGGGGAGCGAUCCGG